rnacentral:hammerhead_ribozyme from 1 species
GUACUGAUGAAGAGUCCCGGACCAGGACGAAGCAGCUGGCCAGUAC